UAGAUGUGCAGUGUUGUCUUUCGUCGACUACUGACAGGACUUGUUUGAGACACUCCUGCAUAUGAGAGAUUCCAAAUACUAAAGUUUUGGAUAAAAAAAGAGGAAAUAUGUCUGUCAGUCGGAAGAAUUGGUCUGCACUGUCUAGUCUGGCUCGGCAGUGGACUAUGGAGGACGAGGAGGAGCUGGAACGGGAGCGCCGGAGGAAGACGCGAGAUCCCAGCGUCAGUGCAGACCCUGAUGAAGAGGAGGGCCUUGCUAGUGAGAAGAGCCAAGGCUCCAGGAGAAUGGAUGUCUCAGAGCUUCUUGGUACCAGGAAGCAGGGCCACUUCAACACAAGCAAACAUGCGAGCAGUGCCCAGCCGGAGCCUUCUGACCAAGGAGACAAGGAUGAAAGUGCCAUGCAGGAGGACUUUGUGGAGAUGCUACGCCUGCGCGACGAACGGCGGAGGGCCCGGCACGUGGAGACGCUGCGGCGGCAGAAGCAGGAGGAGGAAGAGGGGCCAGAGGAGGGCGGUCCAGAGGCCCAGCCCAGGGUCGAGCUGCUGGGGGACGUGGACCUGACGGAGGCCCUGAUCAACCCCCUCCGCAUCCUGCUGGACCGGGACAGACCUACCAGCCCCACAAGCCCCAAAAGCCCCGCUAGUCCUGCCAGCACCAGCAGCUCCCACAGCAGGAGCCAAUCCAGCCACUCCACUGGGGAGGCUCAGAAUGAAAACAGAAAUGCAAAUUCAGACCAGUCAACUCCAACGAAGACGUCCAGGAAGUUUGUCAGCUCCUUCUCCAUCUCCUUUGACAAAAGCCCGGCGGCGUCACCGCCACAGAGGCUCGUUUCUCCCCUCAGCCCCAGAAGUGCACCCCAGAGGCCAUUCAGCCCCACUUUUGGGGGCGCCCAAAGCCCCACGCAAAAUGGGGAUGCCGAGAAUAGCACAGCUGCCAGCAUUGAGACCACAACCAAACCUGCCUUUACAAGACAAAGUUCUAGAACCACCUCCUUCAGGUUGCUGAAGAAGCAAGAGGAGCAAAGCAUGCCAUUGCAACGGAGCGCAAGUGUUCGGGUCACAAGCAAAAUUGAGUCCAACAAGAGUCCGAAUCAAGAUGAGCAACAACAGUCACCGUUUCAGAGAAACUCUAAACAGAGAAUAUCAGCUCGUUCAAUCCAAGAAAAAAUGGAGAGACUUGCCCAGGCUUCACAGAAACAAACAAGUAAAUCCCCCUAUCAGCCAGAGAGGACUCUGUUUCUUAUGGAUGAAGUCUUAAGAAAGAAGAAUCUGUUUGAGAGUGAACAGCCAAAGGGACAGAAAGAGCCUGGAAUGGGCAGACAGGAUUUUCGCAACUUUUCAUCUGGAAUUUCUGACCGGAUUAAUCGCUGGCUGCAGAAACAACCAAAGCCUAGCCCUACUUCCACCACAUCUGACCUGAGGAAUGUGGACAUCUUAAGCAAGAAGAUUCUCUUUGAGCGGGGCAAGGACGAAAGGCCAUUGUCUCCUGAACCGCACAGCAAGAGCUCAAAUUAAGAGAAAAUGCCACCACCUAGACACUUUGCAAAGGAAUGUCCUCGAAAGUGUGUAUUGUUACUAGGACUCCAGGAUUCACAGGAACACAGUCUGACCACUACAGAGGACCAGCACUACUGAUUGUACAUUUUAGUGAGGAGUUUUGACCAUGUCCACUUCUACUCCAAAAUAAUACUUUUAAAUGGCUUGUACACCAUUACUGCAUGAUGUGGUACACACUUACAUACAUGAUGGGGUUGAUGAGGUACAUACAUGCAUACAUUCAUAUAUUUCCUUUGUUUUAAGAUACACUUUUGUCAGAGACUGAAAAAAAAUACAAAGCACACUAAAAUAUCCAUUGCAUUCUGAGAUUUAUCCUAAAUAUCAUACUCUGACUCUGUUGGUUAAAUACAGAUAAUGGCUCUGUUAAUGUAAUCUUUUCAAAGAAAACUGCCCCCAGUCUUUAAUGCACUUUCUGUGUAUGCAUUCUUCUUCAGCAGAAGUGUUUGUACUUUAGCAAACUAGCAAACACUUUUUUUGGAAAACAAAAUAAUGUACAUUCAUUUCAGUAGUGUAAUGAAUGCAAGGCUUUCUUUAAAAUGUACAGUUUGCCAUUUUCUUACAAGAACAGGAAGAAUGAUGAUUUUGCUGAUUCAUUAAUUAUCAAUAAGAUAUUUUAAAUUAAUGGCAGUCUAACAUAUGUCUAACCUGCACUCUUAAUGCUCAUAAAUUACAUACAUUACAUACAUUACAAGCUAUCUCUCUGACUUCUCAUCAUUUAAUUACAACAACUACAGUGCAGUAUGUGUGAUAGGAAGCAUCAGAUCACACUGAGGCCUGUUGAUUAACACAAAUGACAACUCUCAGAUAUUGUUUAUGAGUGUGCCAAUGCUAUAUGUUUACUUUCUUACUUUCUAUAUGGAGGUGUUUAGUAAAUAAUAAUAAACUAUAUUUUCGAAAAUUUAAA